rnacentral:rRNA from 1 species
CUGGGCUCGAACGGCUCACGAACGUCCUUGGAAACAGGGAUUUCCCGCAAGGGACGGGAGUCGAGGUGCUGCAUGGCUGUCGUCAGCUCGUGUCGUGAGAUGUUGGGUUAAGUCCCGCAACGAGCGCAACCCUUGUCCUGUGUUGCCAUCAUUCAGUUGGGAACUCGCAGGAGACCGCCAGCGAUAAGCUGGAGGAAGGUGGGGAUGACGUCAAGUCCUCAUGGCCUUUAUGUCCAGGGCUACACACGUGCUACAAUGGCCGGUACAAUGCGCUGCUAAGUCGCAAGACGGAGCCAAUCGCAAAAAACCGGUCUCAGUUCGGAUUGCAGGCUGCAACUCGCCUGCAUGAAGCUGGAAUCGCUAGUAAUGGCAUAUCAGAACGAUGCCGUGAAUACGUU